CAGGAUUGGAAUCGUGGAAUGGAAUACUCAUACUUACUCUUGCAGAGGACAAAAGGAAUUGGAAAGGCCAAGCCCUGGAAGCAGUCAAUGGUCAUUUCUGUGGCUUGGAUGGCCUCAUCGAGAGUGUGCGACUUGAGCAGGCAAUCAUCCAGUAUGGAUGUCUAGGGAUCUCAGCGUCACUUGGAAUCCUUCCUGAUGUGCAGCACCUCGUUGGUUUUCUCUGCAGAUAACUUCUUUUCAUCGACGGGGAGAUCCUCCAUGGUAUUUUGUAUCUUGCAUGGGAAAGAAGAAGAGGUAAACCAUGAAGCUUGACGCAUAACAACGGCCAUCAUGGUGGACCUGGCAGCUGUGUCUGCAGCAUCAAGGGCAGCCAGCAGUGCCAUGAAGGAAAUAAUCUGCCCUUCAGAGACUACUGCUCUGAAUUGUUGUCUCUUGUCUUCUGUAAUGUCAUUAAUAAAGUCCAUGAG